rnacentral:rRNA from 1 species
UGGGGAAUAUUGGACAAUGGGGGAAACCCUGAUCCAGCAAUGCCGCGUGAGUGAAGAAGGCCUUAGGGUUGUAAAACUCUUUCGCCCGCGACGAUGAUGACGGUAGCGGGAGAAGAAGCCCCGGCUAACUCCGUGCCAGCAGCCGCGGUGAUACGGAGGGGGCUAGCGUUGUUCGGAAUUACUGGGCGUAAAGCGCGCGUAGGCGGCACGGUCAGUCAGGCGUGAAAGCCCCGGGCUUAACCCGGGAACUGCGUUUGAUACUGCCGUGCUUGAGUCCGGGAGAGGAGAGUGGAAUUCCCAGUGUAGAGGUGAAAUUCGUAGAUAUUGGGAAGAACACCAGUGGCGAAGGCGGCUCUCUGGACCGGCACUGACGCUAAGGCGCGAAAGCGUGGGGAGCAAACAGGAUUAGAUACCCGCGUAGUCC